CGGGUCGAAACGAAGAACGAUAAAAGAAAACUUGUCCUUGAUCCUCUACCUGUACAAUAUAGUAAAGUUAAAUCCUGUGGCAAUCUUUUUUUUUCUUUCCAAGUGAAAAGAAGGGUUUAGAAGAGAUAACGUUCCUGGCUGUUUUUUUGGGACUCAUAGACCAUCAAAAGGUUGGACUACUAGUCUGGAGAUUGGAUGCCACGUGGGACGCUGGUGAAGGACAUCUUGGACUUCAAAGCCACUCGUCCCCUGGAGGGUGGUAGGACAGUUGAAAUGAUUUCCUUUUUUUUUUUUUUUGUUAAAUCUGAGAUCUCAGUCAUUUUUUAUCGGUCAGAUUUGAUACCAAAACAACUGAUAACAAUUUAGCUCACUGUAUGUUUUUUUCCUUGUUAUUCUUUAUGCAGUCUGUUGCAGUUUCCCAUCUACUCCUAUUGUAAAUAUUCACUCAAUAUAUUUUUUUAUAAAAACCUCA